rnacentral:misc_RNA from 1 species
AAGAGUUGCAAAACUCCCACAAACCAUCGCGAACGUUACCCAGACGUAGUUGCUUCGGCGCGCCGCUCCGGUCACCGGGCCGCCGGAGUGGCCGUAUACAGACUCUUGAGUUAACCAGUUACAUCUGAGUACGAUCUUAAUAAGUCAA